AUUUGCUCCAGCGUAAAUCAUGUUUAACAAAGACCACAUUUUUCAUACUUUCGAAAAGGCAGAAAAAGUGAUCACAUAAUGCCACCACCCAUGUGAUCCUUUGUGAUUCCUUUGGCCUUGAAAACCAUGCAAGCAUGAUCUUUUGAUGUCAAAACUGCUCCCCGAGAGUUGUGCUGCAACUUGUGUUGAAUCUUCUCAAUUUUCUAGCAUCAGUCAGCCAUACCUCACUUUGUACCACAAAUCAACUUUUCUAAUGACCAGAUUUGAAUGAAUGGCCGGUAUCUCAAGUGUCGACAACCCGCUUUUCAUUCAUGAUUCUCUUGUGCUCCAAAGUCUCACUUUUAUGACCUUAGCCUUUCGGAUUUUUACAAAGGUCACACCUUUUUAUUUUAUUUUGUUUUCAUUUUCUAUUGUUUUUCCUUUUUUUCUUUUUUUUUUCUUUUCGUCCUUCUCUUUUUUCUUUUUCUUUUUCUUUGUCUUUUUCUUUCUUCCAUUCCUUUGAAGACACUCUUUCAGGUUUUCACCUAAUGAACAAAUCUUUUUAACGACCUUUAUCAACUCAAAAAUGUAUUUAAAGAAAGGAUGGCAUCAGCGCGACAACCCUUCCCAUGUAAAAAUGGUGAAGGUAUAUUGACAUCAUUUGCCAUUUGAUUAAGUGAUUUUUAUUAGA
rnacentral:lncRNA from 1 species